rnacentral:lncRNA from 1 species
UGGUAAGCGACUGUACUGAUGAAGCCUUUCAACAAUAUAUGCGGGAGAUGGCCCCAAUUGCUAAAGAAGUGGCCAAGCAAUUGAACCUUGAGUAGAUCUGUAUCAAGCAAACAUUAGUGUUGUAAAGAAAAUGAUUAUGGAUGCUUGAUGUAUAAUAUAUAAUGUAGUCUUUGUGCAAUUGUUUUUUGCUUUUGCGACUUGUUAUUUUUAGUGCCUUUCAAAAUUAAUCCUGAUGCUUGCUCGUACGAUUAAUGUGAGUGUCUAUGCAUAAGGCUUCUUUUGUGAGCGUCAUCAGAUGCACAUUGUAGAGUUCUUUAAGAUCACAUUCUCCUUUCGUGGGUUGUGAGUACUCAGGCUAUCUGGUAAGUAGACCUCUAGGAGAGUAGUCUCUUUAGGGUUGUGUCGACUAGAGCUUAUCUUUGCAACCUCUCUGAGUUGUAUUGAUGUUGUGCUCUGGAAAACAUGGAACCGUGAACAUGUUAUUACAAGCCGCGACUAG